UUGACUUUAAGACUCCCUACCUUUUACAAUCAAAAUUCAAAUUCAAAAGUCUUUAAUAAACUAAAUUCAUAAAAAAUGAGUCCAAAUUCACGGCGCUGCCUUACGCUGAUUUUCGUAGCAAUAUCUUUUCUAGGCCUCCACCUAAUCGAUGAUCAUAUAAAACUUAAGGAGCCCUUUUUGUCCCGUCAUCGCCAUGAAAUCGAGGGGAUCCAAGACGAUUUGGUGCAUUUGGCAGAUAAUUGCACCAUAGAGAAACUAGUGAGGGAAGACUCACUGGAGUAUCUGCAGAUUAGCUGCCAUGUGGAUGAUCUGCCAGAGGGUUAUGUGAGGAGACUAAAACCAAUGGAUUAUGGCCGUAGUUUCUUCCUGAACCAACGCAUACCGAAGCCCCUUAAGCGCCAGUGGAAUUUCCGAGUGCCCAUGGAUGCCGUCUCCUCAAACUUGAUUGAUUCGAGACUCCACUAGACUGAUAAAGAAAAUGUCAAAAACGAGCCAGCUUAUCAGCGGAUUCUUGGUGGCAGCGAAACGCUUGACCACCGGGGGAUUUCAAUUAAUCCUUGGGGUCAGCAUAGAAGGAGCCGCUACUGGAAAUGAUCGGUAAAUCGUGCUCAAUUGGCUUUUUACCUUUGCCACCUUUUCGUUUUGGACUUUGCGUGUCGACAGCAAUUUUCACCUUAAUUAUUUUUGGUGGCAGGAGUCGGCGGGUGGACAAGGAUGUGUCCAGCACGCGCUAAUGUUUAAUAUCCGCCAGGAUAAUGGAAAGGGUGGUGGUUUCUGUGGUCUUUUGCGGGGGAGGGAAAGUGAAAAAAGACCGAAGAAGACACCCAGUCCAAGACCAGACCAGACAGCUAUGCAAAUUUCCAACUUUAUUUGUAUAUUAAAAGGAAAAUAAAACCUCCAUGCCAUAAUGAUGAACCAAGGGAAUACCUUGUGACGUGCGACAAUUUGUGGAAAAUUUUAAUAAAUUCUACUUACGCAAAUGUGGUUGGGCUUCCAGCAAGAUCCUACGAAAACUAAGCUCAUGGUUGCUUGGGGACUGGAAAGGAAUUCUGCAGUCUAGGCGCAUUUCAAAUUAUUCAUUAAAAGUUGUUGUAAAUUUUUGAAUAAAAAACUAUGAUCC